CUCACAAAGCUGCACCUUUCCUCAGCUUUCCUGACAAUUUCCCAAUAUGUUCUCCAACUAUGUGCCGAGACUGACCUUUUCCUCCCUAAGAGAUAUCAGUUAAGCCCACAGGAAAGGCACAUCUGUCUCAUUGCUGAGAGCUGGCCAGGAGCUCUGCAAAUGUUGGCUGCUCUGUCAGGAUAAAUGGAGAAGAUACAUGUUUUCAGAAAGCACGAGGACCAACAAUCUUCAGCUGAUGCCUUUAGCAGGAGUAGGAAUAAGCAGACAGCUCUCACUGGAGAUCAACUGCUCAAGUCUCAAAUCACUUUACAAAAAUUCUACCUUCUGCAUCUCCUUGCAGAGUGGCAUGCAUGACAGUUUGCCUGGGAAAAACUCCCAGAAUAUGAUGCUAUUCAUUCAGCUAAAAUAGAAGAGGAAGAGCCUGCCAUGACAGUGUUUCUUUAAUGAGAAGAACAGACUAGAAGACCAACAUAUCACAUAAAAAUUAGCAAAAUA